CAUGAAAAUAGGCAUUGUUUGCAAAAAUUGGAACGAUACAGAGAAGAUUAGCAUGGCCCCUGCAGCAAGGAUGACACGCAAAUUCGUGAAGCAUUGGGCUUCCCU
ensembl:snRNA U6 U6 spliceosomal RNA